rnacentral:misc_RNA from 1 species
AAGUCGUAACAAGGUUUCCGUAGGUGAACCUGCGGAAGGAUCAUUAAUGAGUUUGACAUGGGUUGAUGCUGGCCUUCCGAGGUAUUGUGCUCACCCUGCUCAUCCAAACUACCCCUGUGCACCUUUAGUAGUGGGUGAAUGGCCUUGAAAGAGGUCAUAUAGCCAGCUACGUUUUUUUAUAAACACUUUAGUUCAGAAUGUAUACUUGCUAUAAUACGCAUAUAUAUAACUUUCAACAACGGAUCUCUUGGCUCUC